GUUGUAUAGUCAAGUAAUUAAGUGCAUGUGGUGGAUGCCUUGGCAGUCAGAGGCGAUGAAAGACGUGAUAGCCUGCGAAAAGCUCCGGGGAGGCGGCAAAUAUCCUUUGAUCCGGAGAUGUCUGAAUGGGGGAACCCACCUACUUUAAGGUAGGUAUUGCAACAUGAAUACAUAGUGUUGCAAGGCGAACGAGGGGAAGUGAAACAUCUCAGUACCCUUAGGAAAAGAAAUCAAUUGAGAUUCCCUCAGUAGCGGCGAGCGAAAGGGGAUCAGCCCAUUAAGUUAUGUGUGUUUUAGUGGAACG
rnacentral:rRNA from 1 species